rnacentral:rRNA from 1 species
UAUAAUCGUUUUAAUCGAUGGGGGGGGACGCAGUAGGAUAGGCGAAGCGUGCGAUUGGAUUGCACGUCUAAGCAGUAAGGCUGAGUAUUAGGCAAAUCCGGUACUCGUUAAGGCUGAGCUGUGAUGGGGAGAAGACAUUGUGUCUUCGAGUCGUUGAUUUCACACUGCCGAGAAAAGCCUCUAGAUAGAAAAUAGGUGCCCGUACCGCAAACCGACACAGGUAGUCAAGAUGAGAAUUCUAAGGUGAGCGAGCGAACUCUCGUUAAGGAACUCGGCAAAAUGACCCCGUAACUUCGGGAGAAGGGGUGCUCUUUAGGGUUAACGCCCAGAAGAGCCGCAGUGAAUAGGCCCAAGCGACUGUUUAUCAAAAACACAGGUCUCUGCUAAACCGUAAGGUGAUGUAUAGGGGCUGACGCCUGCCCGGUGCUGGAAGGUUAAGAGGAGUGGUUAGCUUCUGCGAAGCUACGAAUCGAAGCCCCAGUAAACGGCGGCCGUAACUAUAACGGUCCUAAGGUAGCGAAAUUCCUUGUCGGGUAAGUUCCGACCCGCACGAAAGGCGUAACGAUUUGGGCACUGUCUCAACGAGAGACUCGGUGAAAUCAUAGUACCUGUGAAGAUGCAGGUUACCCGCGACAGGACGGAAAGACCCCGUGGAGCUUUACUGUAGCCUGAUAUUGAAAUUCGGCACAGCUUGUACAGGAUAGGUAGGAGCCUUUGAAACGUGAGCGCUAGCUUACGUGGAGGCGCUGGUGGGAUACUACCCUAGCUGUGUUGGCUUUCUAACCCGCACCACUUAUCGUGGUGGGAGACAGUGUCAGGCGGGCAGUUUGACUGGGGCGGUCGCCUCCUAAAAGGUAACGGAGGCGCUCAAAGGUUCCCUCAGAAUGGUUGGAAAUCAUUCAUAGAGUGUAAAGGCAUAAGGGAGCUUGACUGCGAGACCUACAAGUCGAGCAGGGUCGAAAGACGGACUUAGUGAUCCGGUGGUUCCGCAUGGAAGGGCCAUCGCUCAACGGAUAAAAGCUACCCCGGGGAUAACAGGCUUAUCUCCCCCAAGAGUUCACAUCGACGGGGAGGUUUGGCACCUCGAUGUCGGCUCAUCGCAUCCUGGGGCUGUAGUCGGUCCCAAGGGUUGGGCUGUUCGCCCAUUAAAGCGGUACGCGAGCUGGGUUCAGAACGUCGUGAGACAGUUCGGUCCCUAUCCGUCGUGGGCGUAGGAAAUUUGAGAGGAGCUGUCCUUAGUACGAGAGGACCGGGAUGGACAUACCUCUGGUGUACCAGUUGUCGUGCCAACGGCAUAGCUGGGUAGCUAUGUGUGGACGGGAUAAGUGCUGAAAGCAUCUAAGCAUGAAGCCCCCCUCAAGAUGAGAUUUCCCAACUUCGGUUAUAAGAUCCCUCAAAGAUGAUGAGGUUAAUAGGUUCGAGGUGGAAGCAUGGUGACAUGUGGAGCUGACGAAUACUAA